rnacentral:misc_RNA from 1 species
GAUGAAGAACGCAGCGAAAUGCGAUAAGUAGUGUGAAUUGCAGAAGUACCGUGAAUCAUCGAAUCUUUGAACGCAAAUUGCACUCUCUGGUAUUCCGGGGAGUAUGCCUGUUUGAGGGUCGCUUAACAAACCAUCGAUUUCGUUGCUUUUUUUUUUAAAGUGAUGUUUAUCGGAUUUGAGCCGUCUUUUUUUUUAUAUUUAAGUGGCUUAAAAUUGAUUUUUUUGGUACGAUCGAAGCGUAUUUUUAUGAUCAAUUUUUGGUUAAAGAAACGCACACGUACCGUUAUUUAUAUGAUGUAAUACGUUUGACUAUUGGAUUUAGUUCAUUCGUAUACGAUAUCUUUCAAUAUUUGACCUCAAAUCAGGUAAGAACACCCGCUGAACUUAAGCAUAUCAAUAAGCCGGAGGA